rnacentral:rRNA from 1 species
GAUUAUGGCUCAGGAUGAACGCUAGCGGCAGGCUUAAUACAUGCAAGUCGAACGGGAUUCAGGUAGCAAUACUUGAUGAGAGUGGCGCACGGGUGCGUAACACGUAUGCAACCUACCUUUAACUGGUGAAUAGCCCCGGGAAAUCGGGAUUAAUACACCAUAACAUUACAAGAGGGCAUCCUCUAAUAAUUAAAGAACUUCGGUUAAAGAUGGGCAUGCGGGACAUUAGCUAGUUGGUGAGGUAACGGCUCACCAAGCCGACGAUGGAUAGGGGAACUGAGAGGUUGGUCCCCCACACUGGUACUGAGACACGGACCAGACUCCUACGGGAGGCAGCAGUGAGGAAUAUUGGUCAAUGGGCGGGAGCCUGAACCAGCCAAGUCGCGUGAAGGAAGAAGGAUCUAUGGUUCGUAAACUUCUUUUGCAGGGGAAUAAAGUGCAGGACGUGUCCUGUUUUGUAUGUACCCUGAGAAUAAGGAUCGGCUAACUCCGUGCCAGCCGCCGC